ACUCCUACGGGAGGCAGCAGUGGGGAAUAUUGCACAAUGGGCGCAAGCCUGAUGCAGCCAUGCCGCGUGUAUGAAGAAGGCCUUCGGGUUGUAAAGUACUUUCAGCAGUGAGGAAGGUGGGUAUGUUAAUAGCAUACUCAUUUGACGUUAGCUGCAGAAGAAGCACCGGCUAACUCCGUGCCAGCAGCCGCGGUAAUACGGAGGGUGCGAGCGUUAAUCGGAAUUACUGGGCGUAAAGCGCAUGCAGGUGGUUUGUUAAGUCAGAUGUGAAAGCCCGGGGCUCAACCUCGGAAUUGCAUUUGAAACUGGCAAACUAGAGUACUGUAGAGGGGGGUAGAAUUUCAGGUGUAGCGGUGAAAUGCGUAGAGAUCUGAAGGAUACCGGUGGCGAAGGCGGCCCCCUGGACAGAUACUGACACUCAGAUGCGAAAGCGUGGGGAGCAAACAGGAUUAGAUACCCUGGUAGGCUCU
rnacentral:rRNA from 1 species